UUUUCCCUUAACUAUAAUAGCCUGUAAUACUUCUAAAGUCUUUAAGUUGAAAGCCAAAUGUUAUCAGAUUUGAGUAAGAAUAACAAAUCCUUUUGAAGAUGAACACAACUAUUAAUAAUCCGGUUAUUCCAUGUAUGAUGAGCUUACCUGAGACAUUAACUUCGAUGCGUUGAUUACGUCACAAUCCGCGAAGCAGUUGAUUGGGAC